GGGCAUGUAGUGUAGUGGUUAUCGCGUCCGCUUUGCAUCAUCGUGCCGUUCGGCAAGUGUCUUGCGGAAGGUCUCCGGUUCAAUCCCGGACUUGUCCA